GGUGUAGCAGACCAACUUAUAUCCUGUGAGCAUCAUAAAUAUAAAACCUGGAAGGCCUAAAAACUCAAAUACCUUUGUCUCUCAUAGUCAUAACUCAUAAUCACUGACCCUUCUUCUCUAUCUACUAUAUGUAUGUGACAUAGUAGUAUAAUUGAUUCAAAGACAUGCCUCUUUUUCUCUCCAAGAGCCAUAAUUUAAUGUUCCCACCUCUAAUAAGGUGUUUGGUUGUUGGCAAUAUUUAAGGCUCCCUGCUAUCUGUGUCUUUGUCACACUGUCCCUCCCUCCCUUUCCAUUCCAUUAAAUUUCAAGAAUCUCACAGCACAACCCAUACUUACUACUCCAAACAAAAAACAUGCCACACCCUUGACCCUUUCUUGCCACAUCUUUUUUUUCCUUUAAACCUUCUUCAGGGAUGUUAUGUUAUAUUAUCAUGUGAAUGGAAGUGCAGAAACAAGAUAAGGUGGUGGUGAUCAUAGUUCAAAGAUUAAUUCAGAGAGCAUGGGAUAUUGGUACGGUUCAAUCAGAAGGCAGUGCUUUGAUAGAUUCUAAAGUCCUCUUAUUUGAUUGAGCCGUGCCAAUAUCACAUGUUUAAUUGUUGAUCAUCACCAUUCUUCUCUUUAUUGGUCUCAAGUUGCGACUUCAUUCAUAAGUAUGCUAGCAUGCCGGUAAGUCUUCUUAGAACUCUUAGAUUUUAGGACGGGUUAUGGCAGAAAUGUAUGAACUAAUUAAAAAAUUCAAUAAAAGUGAGAUGACGUUCAAUUUAAUAUGUUUUAGAAUAUUCAUUCACCUACCUAUAUUUGGUGCAGUAAGGAGUGUUAUAUAUUAUUUUGAAAUGACCAUGUCUCAUGAAAUUAAUUAUUACUGUGUGUCCCAAUUCGAUCAUCAAUUUGUUGGAGUGAAAAUUUGGUAAGUUAGGUAGAAAAUUUGAUUGAACUCUUCUUUCUUCCUUGGUGAUAGAGACUUGAUUAAUCGGACGAGAUAAUGCAUCUUUAUAUGUGUAGUUUCAAGUUUGCUUCCAUUUAAAGUUGUUCUAUAUGGCUACCCUAUUUGACAAUGUAGUAUUAUAUAAAGGAGGCAACAAGAUCUGAUAUUUUUUCUACCUUUGUGAUUAGUAAAGCACUUUCUAGACAAAUACUACUUGCUUUGCUAAAUUUUGGAAAUAUUUUCAGAAAGAAACACCCUCUAAUUACUAUGUCUAAGUUCUAACUUCUAACUUUAAAAUGAAAAUUUGGGCACUUGAGAAGUAUUUGGAUGGA